rnacentral:tRNA from 1 species
UCCCUGGCAGUCCAGUGGUUAGGACUCAGCACUUUCACUGCUGUGGCCCAUGUUCAAUCCCUGGACAGGGAA